rnacentral:snRNA from 1 species
AUACUUACCUGACGAGGUCCAUACUGGGAUCAGGCAGCCAGUGGGUCCAGGGCGAGGUUCUGCCAAAAUAACAGCAACAUCUCAUAUACAACACACUAUAACCAGAUGGUGGGUGCAAAUUGAAUCUGAC